rnacentral:rRNA from 1 species
UACGAAAGGAGCAGGUGUUAUUCAGAUUCACUGGGCGUAAAGGGCACGUAGGUGGUUUGUUUAUGUGUAUUAUUAAAUUGUAAAGCAUAACUUUAUAACGUAUUACAGACAACAAAACUAGAGUUAGGUAGAGGGUAGUAGAAUUAGUAGUGUAGCAGUGAAAUGCGUAGAUAUUACUAGGAACACCAAUGGCGAAGGCAGCUUGCUGGGCCACCCCUGACGCUGAGGUACGAAAGCGUGGGGAGCGAACAGG